AACACAUGCAAGUCGAACGGAAAUGUUUUGAUGAAGAUUUCGGUUGGAUUCAUUUCAUUUUAGUGGCGGACGGGUGAGUAACACGUGGGUAACCUGCCCUGUACCGGGGGAUAACACUUAGAAAUAGGUGAUAAUACCGCAUAAGCGCACACUGACGCAUGUCAGAGUGUGAAAAACUCCGGUGGUACAGGAUGGACCCGCGUCUGAUUAGCUUGUUGGCGGGGUAACGGCCCACCAAGGCGACGAUCAGUAGCCGGCCUGAGAGGGUGAACGGCCACAUUGGGACUGAGACACGGCCCAGACUCCUACGGGAGGCAGCAGUGGGGGAUAUUGCACAAUGGGGGAAACCCUGAUGCAGCGACGCCGCGUGAGUGAUGAAGUAUUUCGGUAUGUAAAGCUCUAUCAGCAGGGAAGAUAAUGACGGUACCUGACUAAGAAGCCCCGGCUAACUACGUGCCAGCAGCCGCGGUAAUACGUAGGGGGCAAGCGUUAUCCGGAUUUACUGGGUGUAAAGGGAGCGCAGACGGUCGUGCAAGUCUGAAGUGAAAUCCCUCGGCUCAACUGAGGAAUUGCUUUGGAAACUAUGUGAC
rnacentral:rRNA from 1 species